rnacentral:tRNA from 1 species
GAGAGUAUAGCUCAGUGGUAGAGCACGUGCUUAGCAUGCACGAGGUCCUGGGUUCAAUCCCUAGUAUCUCCA